AACGAACGCUGGCGGCAGGCUUAACACAUGCAAGUCGAGCGCCCCGCAAGGGGAGCGGCAGACGGGUGAGUAACGCGUGGGAACGUACCCUUUGCUACGGAAUAGCUCUGGGAAACUGGAAUUAAUACCGUAUGUGCCCUACGGGGGAAAGGUUUAUCGCCAAGGGAUCGGCCCGCGUUGGAUUAGGUAGUUGGUGGGGUAAUGGCCUACCAAGCCGACGAUCCAUAGCUGGUUUGAGAGGAUGAUCAGCCACACUGGGACUGAGACACGGCCCAGACUCCUACGGGAGGCAGCAGUGGGGAAUCUUAGACAAUGGGCGCAAGCCUGAUCUAGCCAUGCCGCGUGAGCGAUGAAGGCCUUAGGGUUGUAAAGCUCUUUCAGCGAGGAAGAUAAUGACUGUACUCGCAGAAGAAGCCCCGGCUAACUCCGUGCCAGCCGCCGCCGUAAUAC
rnacentral:rRNA from 1 species